UACAGAGGUCUCAAGCGUUGUUCGGAUUCAUUGGGCGUAAAGGGUGCGUAGGCGGCGCGGUAAGUCGGGUGUGAAAUCUUGGAGCUUAACUCCGAAACUGCAUUCGAUACUGCCGUGCUUGAGGACUGGAGAGGAGACUGGAAUUUACGGUGUAGCGGUGAAAUGCGUAGAUAUCGUGAGGAAGACCGGUGGCGAAGGCGGGUCUCUGGGCAGUUCCUGACGCUGAGGCGCGAAAGCCUGGGGAGCAAACAGG
rnacentral:rRNA from 1 species